rnacentral:rRNA from 1 species
GGGGAAUAUUGCACAAUGGGCGCAAGCCUGAUGCAGCAACGCCGCGUGAGGGAUGACGGCCUUCGGGUUGUAAACCUCUUUUAGUAGGGAAGAAGCCUUCGGGUGACGGUACCUGCAGAAAAAGCACCGGCUAACUACGUGCCAGCAGCCGCGGUAAUACGUAGGGUGCAAGCGUUGUCCGGAAUUAUUGGGCGUAAAGAGCUCGUAGGCGGCUUGUCGCGUCUGCCGUGAAAACCCCAGGCUCAACCUGGGGCGUGCGGUGGGUACGGGCAGGCUAGAGUGCGGUAGGGGAGAUUGGAAUUCCUGGUGUAGCGGUGGAAUGCGCAGAUAUCAGGAGGAACACCGAUGGCGAAGGCAGAUCUCUGGGCCGUAACUGACGCUGAGGAGCGAAAGCAUGGGGAGCGAAC